CGCGUGCAGGAAGAAGGCUUCGGGUUGUAACUGCUUUUGUACGGAACGAAAAGGUCUGCCCUAAUACGGCGGGUUCAUGACGGUACCGUAAGAAUAAGCACCGGCUAACUACGUGCCAGCAGCCGCGGUAAUACGUAGGGUGCGAGCGUUAAUCGGAAUUACUGGGCGUAAAGCGUGCGCAGGCGGUGAUGUAAGACAGUUGUGAAAUCCCCGGGCUCAACCUGGGAAUUGCAUCUGUGACUGCAUCGCUAGAGUACGGUAGAGGGGGAUGGAAUUCCGCGUGUAGCAGUGAAAUGCGUAGAUAUGCGGAGGAACACCGAUGGCGAAGGCAAUCCCCUGGACCUGUACUGACGCUCAUGCACGAAAGCGUGGGGAGCAAACAGGAUUAGAUACCCUGGUAGUCCCGCCCUAAACGAUGUCACUGGUUGUGGGUGCAUUAUACUCAGUA
rnacentral:rRNA from 1 species